GGUCACCCUGGUUACCUGGUUAGCAACAUCCGACCAUAAAUACAUAGAUAUCUCUGCCUGACAAUUUGUUGUAGAACUACAACAAGGGCAAACACGUGCGUUUUAUAGGAAACCACACCUUCUUGGCAGAAAUUGGUAUUGAAUAAUAUUAGUGGUAAAAUAGAAACCAUAGGAAAGAAUAGAAAAGUGAAAGAAUGCUUUGUCGGCACUUUGAUAUAAUUGCUAUUCAACACUUA